GGGAAUGCGCUGACGUUGGAGAGUCAGGCCGGUCUGUAAAACCGGUGCUUAGGCUUAAUAGGUUCGAAUCCUAUCAUUCCCA
rnacentral:tRNA from 1 species